rnacentral:rRNA from 1 species
AUUACAGAGUUUGUUGGCCGCCGACUGUCGCCGGCACUGCUGCCGUGCACGUCGUGUCUGGCCUUCUCUCUAAUCUCACAUCACACUUGUGCACACGGAUUGAGGUGGGGGGGGUUCUUCCUUCCCAUUCUUCUCUCAUAUUAGCCGUUAAAUGCAUGUUUGUAAUUUGUAUCUAAUAUAACUUUCAACAACGGAUCUCUUGGCUUUCGCAUCGAUGAAGGACGCCGCGAACGAGCGAAACGUAAUGUGAAUUGCAGAAUUCAGUGAAUCAUCGAAUCUUUGAACGCAUCUUGCGCUCCUCGGAAUUCCGAGGAGCAUGCCUGUUUGAGUGUCAUUAAUAUUCUCGACUGCCUUGUGUUAGGUUAGGUCGGAUUUUGGAUGUUGCUGGCUUGAAUGAGUCGGCUCGUCUUGAAAUGCAUAUAGCUUGGUUCCGUAAUGUUAUUGUGGAAGGCCGGUGGCUCGUGAUAAGUGAAGGUGUCAUGUGAUACCUUUUUUGUUCGGGUGCUUGUCCUUUCAUGAUGAUAUAUGCGGGCUGCUUCUUAGAUUUCAUUUAUUGCGAUAUUUGACCUCAAAUCAGGUAGGAUUACCCGCUGAACUUAAGCAUAUCAAUAAGCGGAGGAAAAGAAACUAACAAGGAUUCCCCUAGUAACUGCGAGUGAAGCGGGAAGAGCUCAAAUUUGUAAUCUGGCGGUCUCAGGCCGUCCGAGUUGUAGUCUGGAGAAGCGUCUUCCGUGCCGGACCGUGUACAAGUCCCUUGGAACAGGGCGUCAUAGAGGGUGAGAAUCCCGUCUCUGACACGGACUGCCGGUGCUAUGUGAUGCGCUCUCGAAGAGUCGAGUUGUUUGGGAAUGCAGCUCAAAAUGGGUGGUAAAUUCCAUCUAAAGCUAAAUACAGGCGAAAGACCGAUAGCGAACAAGUACCGUGAGGGAAAGAUGAAAAGCACUUUGGAAAGAGAGUUAAACAGUACGUGAAAUUGUUGAAAGGGAAACGCUUGAAGUCAGUCGCGUCUCGCGGGAUUCAGCCUUUGCGUCUGCUAGGUGCAUUUCCCGGUGUAGAUGGGCCAGCAUCAAUUCGGAUCGUCAGAGAAGGGUCGAGGGAACGUGGCACCCCUGUGGUGUGUUAUAGCCCCCGGUCAUAUGUGACGGUCAGGAUUGAGGAUUGCAGCACGCCUUCAAUGGCCGGGGUUCGCCCACGUAACGUGCUUAGGAUGCUGGCGUAAUGGCUUCAAACGACCCGUCUUGAAACACGGACCAAGGAGUCCAACAUGCCUGCGAGUGUUUGGGUGGUUAAACCCCGGACGCGUAAUGAAAGUGAGAUGUCAGGACCUCUGUCGUGGAGGGCACUGACGCCCGGACCAGACCUUUCUAAGUGACGGUUCCGAGGUAGAGCAUGUAUGCUGGGACCCGAAAGAUGGUGAACUAUGCUUGAGUAGGGCGAAGCCAGAGGAAACUCUGGUGGAGGCUCGUAGCGGUUCUGACGUGCAAAUCGAUCGUCGAACUUGGGCAUAGGGGCGAAAGACUAAUCGAACCAUCUAGUAGCUGGUUCCUGCCGAAGUUUCCCUCAGGAUAGCAGAGACUCUUAUCAGAUUUAUGUGGUAAAGCGAAUGAUUAGCGACCUUGGGGUCGAAACGACCUUAAUCGAUUCUCAAACUUUGAAUAUGUAAGAUCGGGUCGUCACUUGAUUGGACCGCCCGGCGAUUGAGAGUCUC